GUGGAGAAUUGUCAAUAUCAUUUAUUUUAUAUCUUCAAACAACUCAAAACCGAUUAUGACCUUUUAACAAAGGUUUAAACCUAAUCAUUCAUAUAACAAAGGUAAACGAACAAGUCUAAUUUAUAUACCAGUAACCACACAACGCAGUAUAAUAUUAUAAACUUACUGCCGAUCAGUUCGCAAGGACUGUAAACGAGCAGCUAAAGAGUCGUAUUCAGGAAGCUUUGGAUGAACAUGGCUCGCUUUCUUGACUUCAGACGUCAUUUCAGAUCCUACAUUCUGUGUUUUAACAUCCUUCAUAUUUCCCGAUUCAACAACAAUUCUUGAAGAAAUGCGUUCACCCCUUGGAUUUUUAGACUCUGGCAUUGUCUGAACAGCUUCUUGUUUGGUAUGUGCAAAGCGGUUGACUUGUGGCUCGAAAGUGGUUGACUUGAUUUGACCAGUUUCAACAUUGGUCUUUGAAUAAGGAACUGAAGGAGAUCCUCUUGUCCUUCUAGAAAGACCCGAACCCAACCGAACCUUAUUCGUCACUUGUUUUGGAGCCUCGUCCUCGGAAUCCAUUCCGUCAUCAUUAAAGAACGCAGCAGGAGGCGAAAAUAUCGGUCUUGUGCUAACUUUCUUAUUUGCUUGCAAAUCUGAAUCUGAAUCAGAAUCUGAAAUUGAUAUAGGAACCUUCGGUUUUUUAUCUUCUAUCCUACUCGCUCUUGAAUCUAACGAGCUCUGAAAGGAAGUUUGACUUCCUGCUGUUGACUUCUCGAUUGUUCCACUUUUUGUAUAAGGCGGGUACUUAAGACCACCUUUGUUUCGAAGGCCACCUGUCAAUGUUCCAAAGUUCAACCGUUGAUUUGUAGAAUCACCAUUAUCAUUACCAUCCGAUGAAUCAGAAAAUUCUUGGUCUAAAUUACGUUUCUUCAACUCAUGUUGAGACUGCAUUUGUUUUUCUUCAUCCUCGAACGAUGUCCCCUCUUCAACCAAAUCAUUCAGCUCGAUUCGGGUUUUUCUUGAAUUAAAAGUUUGUGAAGACUCGGUAACAGAUGAUGAUUUAGGAUUCAUAGACAAAAGCUCAUUUUCACUUCCGGAAUCUGGACCGUCGGAAUGAUCGAAACUUGCGGGCGCAAAAUUAUCUGUUUCCGAAGGUUCUAUAGAUUUCAUAGACUGGUCACCAAAGGAUACACUUUCAGAAAAAAUAUGCGAUUGAGAAUUUGGUUUGUCAAUGGUGUUCAUUUUAGGGCUCCAGAUGUUAGCCUCCAUUUCGUCAUACUCAAAUCCUGUAUCAAACCUAGGACCACCGCCAACGUCGUCGUCGUCAUCAGAGAUGACAUCAUCAUCAACAUUCGUGCUUGUUUUUACGGAUUCUUUAAAAGGGCUUUCUUGAUCAACUACAGCAAAAGGAUUACCAACAACAGCUUUUUUACGAACAUCAGGUCCAUCGCUAUACGAGCUAAAAUGAGAUUGAGAUGAAUGAAUAGUUGGUUGCUUUUCAGUAGCAAAGAAAUUGAUAUUUUCAUUUUCAAUACUUCCUUUACGAUCACUCACUAACUCGGUUUUAGAUUCCCUUUCAGGAGAGGAAGAACCUUCUUGAUCUUCAUGCAAGGAGUUUUCAUAAUAUCCAUCUGUCAUGUGGAAAUUGUUUACUAAUGUCUCAUUCUCAAUUGAAUCAUUAUUGGAUCUAUCAAAUGUUUCGGUAGCUUUUUGUGAAGUACCAUGUUGACUUUGAUAAAUGUCCUGAUUCGACGUCUUAGGUUUGCUAUCAUCCGAUGAGCUUUCACCACUAUAUCCUGAUGGAGCAGAAACAUGAGAAGGGUUUGUGUUUCAAUAAAUGAAUGGAUGAUAAUAGGGGGAAAU
rnacentral:lncRNA from 1 species